rnacentral:misc_RNA from 1 species
GAUGAAGAACGUAGCGAAAUGCGAUAAGUAAUGUGAAUUGCAGAAUUCAGUGAAUCAUCGAAUCUUUGAACGCACCUUGCGCCCUUUGGCCAUUCCGAAGGGCAUGCCUGUUUGAGUAUCAUGAACACCUCAACUCUUUAUGGUUUUCCAUGAUGAGCUUGGACUCUGGGGGUUUUGCUGGCUCACAGUCGGCUCCUCUAAAAUAAAUCAGCUUACCAGUGUUUGGUGGGUAUCAUGGGUGUGAUAACUAUCUACGCUUGUGGUUUUUCCACCAGGUAACCUUCAGCAGUGGAGGUUCGCUGGAGCUCAUAGACGUCUCUCCUCAGUGAGGACAGCCCUUUGACCGUUUGAUCUCAAAUCAGGUAGGACUACCCGCUGAACUUAAGCAUAUCAAUAAGCGGAGGA